GUUAGCAAGCAGCCUUUGCAUAUUGUUAAGGCCUUUUCUGCCUCUCACCACUCACCCUACCAAGAAGGGGGCUAGGGGUAGGGUGUGCAAGGGCACAAGGAGUUGGGAAGGGACACAGCACACACAGCUGACCCUAAGUGACCAAAGGGAUAUACCAGACCGUAAGGUGUCACGCUCAGCAAUUGAAAGCCUGGGGAAGAGGUAGGAAGUGGAGCACAUUCAGGUGCUUGUCAUCUCAAGUCACCAUUACUGUAACAGAGCUGCAGAUCUGCUUGUUGGUGGGAAAUGGGAGUGAGUGGCUGUGUAAAUCUAAGCUGCCUGCCAGGAUUAAUCCACAACAGUAGGAUUAACAGGGCAUCUGGUGACAAAGCCCAAAGCCAGUCUGUUUCUGCUGUGCUGAAUAUAGUGGUCAAGGGCUGAAGGACUGAUACUUGAAAAAGUGAGUGACACUGGUGAAAACAGACAGAUGUUUACUGAUUCAGCCUUCACAUGCAAAACUGUUGAUGUUCAGAAGAUUUGGAACUGGGACUGAAUUUUUUGACUUUCAUAUGGCUACACAUGCAGAUACUACUAGCAAAUGACAAAGAGCUCAAAGGAACCCUGCUACCACUCCACACCCUUAAAGGAAAUGGAUGCUGUCCA